AAAUGCUUUUACGAUUGAUAUAUUCUCUUGUGCAUCUAGGGAUGUUUGGUUGGAAGAAUUAACUCCGGCACAACCCUUAAUCAAGCAAAGGCCUUGAGAAGACCUAUAAAACACGGGAACACCACUUCCCCGUUUCCAGGUAUUGCAGAGAAAAGAAGAAAAUCAACAAAUAAAAAAAUCAGGGAUUCCUUACUCCUCUCUUUCACUUUGUCUUCUCGAGUCUUGGUUGGACAACCAUCACUAACGAACCAGAGAACCAAAUAGGUUAGGAUUUUGGGGCUAAAUAUAUGCUUCACAUUAUGUGAAAACAAGAGGUCGUUUUGUUAUUUCAAUAAAGGCUUACAAAUCAGUGGUCGAGUACAUUGAAUAUCACCCUCUUCUUACCCAAAACGGCUGUAAGCUUUACCAAGAGGUUUUAUGAUGGACCCAUUCAUCAUGUGUUCUUCGAUGUAAAUCAAUGCAACAAUCUUGAUUUGCACCAACAUCUCUUGACCAACAAUUUGGAUAUGAUAUUUGUUGAACCUGGCUAAAGUAUGCAUGUGGUUCUCAAGAGCGAAAGCAUCUCCAAGACAUGAAAAUAGGUUCAAAGAGCUGCUAUAUGACAAAUGGGCAUGAAAUAAGAGGAAAAAGAAACAAACCAAGCAUACAUGUGUGAAUACAAAUGGUGCAACCCAUGGACCCUAAAAGUCAAAUCUUGCAACAUACAUGUGUGCAUAGGGGAAAAUAAACUCUUUGGCAUGGAGGGUUAUUUGGUUUCAGUCACAUGGUCAUUUUUUUUUUUACUUUAGGAAUAAUGUUAAUUGUUUUUAGAAAUGAUAGUCUCUGAAUAGUGAAAGCGUUGUGGACAAGUUUAAUUUUAGAUCUUAUGGGCCUGUUUAUCGUGUGGGAUGAAGAACUUGGAUUUCUCUUUUUAUAUGAUUGGUCCAUAAUUCCUUUGCAAUGCUUAAAAAGUUUAUAGGACACAUGCAGGAGAUAUAUUUUUUGGUUGAAAAAUUCUUGGGUAAAGCCUAAGUAAUGGCUUCAGUUGAGUUCCGAUUAGUUCUGACUCAACUAUAUAGGUACAUUUAGGGAUGAUGGAAUUGAUAGGUUAUUAUGUAUAUGGGUUGUUGAUAGGCCCACAAUCAAGCGUGACAUGAGCAAAAGACCCAAAAGAAGAAUUAUCACUCCAAGACGCUUAUUAGACUAUGUCUAAAUUGAGGGCAAUAUGCUAGUUUGAUCUUUUAAAAAUGCUUGUCGGUUAAUUAGUGCUUGCUGUAGUGGAGUAGUGCUAGCUUAUCCUUUCUGUUAGUAGUUGAUUAUCUUUCUGUUAGUAGUGGAUUAGUGGAGUCAUUUCCUAGUUUGUUAUUCUGUUUUUUCUCCCUAUAUAUGUAACCUUUGGUUGAGCAAAAAAUGAAGCAGAUAGAAAUUCGGCAAACUCCUUACUUGGUUAUGAUAUUUCUACUAGCUCUCUCUCCCUGUACACAUCAUCUUGGUGCUUUCAUUAACGAUGGCAGAAUCGACCCGCUUCAAGUCCAACAUGGAUCACAUCGAGGAUGCCAUUGCCUACUUAUCUCAACAAGUUGAAGGACCUUUAUCAGAAGGUUACCCAUUUGGAGACAAGCUCGCAUUCGUUGACAUCAUCCACAACCAAUCACAAUCCACUUCACCUGCCACCUUCCUUUCUUCAUAUGAAGUUGGAAGUGUCGCCGUUUGAAGGCUCAGACCCCUUUUGUUGGAUCUUCAAGAUCAACCAAUUCUUUGCUUAUCAUGACACACCCAAACCCGAUAGCCUCACAAUUGCUUCCUUCUA